rnacentral:rRNA from 1 species
CGGCGAGUGAAGCGGCAACAGCUCAAAUUUGAAAUCUGGCUCUUUUAGGGUCCGAGUUGUAAUUUGCAGAGGGCGCUUUGGCGUUGGCAGCGGUCCAAGUUCUUUGGAACAGGACGUCACAGAGGGUGAGAAUCCCGUACGUGGUCGCUAGCCUUCGCCGUGUAAAGCCCCUUCGACGAGUCGAGUUGUUUGGGAAUGCAGCUCUAAAUGGGAGGUAAAUUUCUUCUAAAGCUAAAUACUGGCCAGAGACCGAUAGCGCACAAGUAGAGUGAUCGAAAGAUGAAAAGCACUUUGGAAAGAGAGUCAAAUAGCACGUGAAAUUGUUGAAAGGGAAGCGCUUGCAGCCAGACUUGCCUGUAGUUGCUUAUCCGGACUUUUGUCCGGUGCACUCUUCUGCGGGCAGGCCAGCAUCAGUUUAGGCGGUUGGAUAAAGGUCUCUAUCACGUACCUACCCUUCGGGGUAGGCCUUAUAGGGGAGACGACAUGCAACCAGCCUGAACUGAGGUCCGCGCAUCUGCUAGGAUGCUGGCGUAAUGGCUGUAAGCGGCCCGUCUUGAAACACGGACCAAGGAGUCUAACAUCUAUG